AAGCCGAAACUAAGCUAGGAAGAACUCAACCAUGGCCUUUAAGGUUUCGACAAUUGCUUGGUUUAAUUGAGAUCAAGAAACGAAGAAAACGAAUUUGGAUCGGGGAAAAACGAAAGUAAUCGAGUAGUCAAUCGUGUCCGUCGAUAUCCGAGGCUUAAUGUCUAGCAGGCUUGAUGCCGGUGAAUUAUUUCAGACUUUAUGUCUAGCAGGCUUGAUGCCGGUGAAUUACUUCAGACUUUAUGUGUAGCAGGCUUGAUGCCAGUGAAUUACUUCAGACUUUAUGUCUAGUAGGCUUGAUGCCGGUGAAUUAUUUCAGACUUAUUGUCUAGCAGGCUUCAUGCUGGUGUACUUCAGUAAGCUUUAGACUUAACAGACUUCGUGUUGGUAUGUCAUUUAAAGAUACGUGCUUAGAAAUUUUUAAUGUGAAUGCGAUGUCAAAAGGGAUUGUGAGGUAUAAUAAUCAGGUAUGCGUUAUGUCUAAACUCAUCUGAUGAUUAAGUAAGUACAUUUGGUUGAUUGUAUUUAACAAAAGGAUACUUAUAUGUGUAUAUAUAUUUGACGAAUAUAUGCGGCAUUAUGCUAAUGACAGGUGCAAGAUUGAAAGUUUAUUUAAUGUGAAAUAGUUAUGACUGAUAUGUAGUAAGAUUAAUGAAUGUUUUGAUAAUGCUUAUAUGUUGUAUUCGACUUUAAUUAAAAUAUCUAAGAAAUUGUUUCAUUCAAUAAAAUAUAUUAUAUUUUGCUCAAGACUUACUAAGUCAAGAUAGCUUACUUUGUAUUGUCUUUUAUUUGUUUUUGUUUUAUAGAUUUUUCUUUGAGAUUGCUACGUACUCGGGGAUCGUCAGCAAAGUUUAUCACACUAUCGACAAUUUCUUUUGGUAUUUCACUAAGUUGUUUUUGAGUAUAUGGCAUGUAUAGUUUAGUUGAAAGGUUGAUUUUGGUUUAAGUACUUAUUAAUGUAAUCAAAAGUCAUGUGAAAAAUGGCUUACUUGUUUGAUCUAUUUUGGUGUCUAUGCAUAUGGUUUUAAUAGUCAUUAAAAUAGAGUUUAUAAUUGUACAUAUUAAAGUUAGUUUUAAUAACUUAUC